UACGAAGGGGGCUAGCGUUGCUCGGAAUCACUGGGCGUAAAGGGUGCGUAGGCGGGUCUUUAAGUCAGGGGUGAAAUCCUGGAGCUCAACUCCAGGACUGCCUUUGAUACUGAGGAUCUUGAGUUCGGGAGAGGUGAGUGGAACUGCGAGUGUAGAGGUGAAAUUCGUAGAUAUUCGCAAGAACACCAGUGGCGAAGGCGGCUCACUGGCCCGGUACUGACGCUGAGGUGCGAAAGCGUGGGGAGCAAACAGG
rnacentral:rRNA from 1 species